rnacentral:rRNA from 1 species
AUUGAACGCUGGCGGCAGGCCUAACACAUGCAAGUCGAACGAGUGGCGGACGGGUGAGUAAUGUCUGGUAAACUCCCUGAUGGAGGGGGAUAAUUACUAGAAACGGUAGCUAAUACCUCCUCCCAUCAGAUCUGUCCAGUUGGGAGUAGUUUGUUGGUGGGGUAACGGCUCACCAAGGCGACGAUCCCUAGCUGGUCUGAGAGGAGGACCAGCAACACGGGAACUGAGACACGGUCCAGAAUCCGACGGGAGGCAGCAGUGGGGAAUAUUGGACAAGGGGCGCAAGCCUGAUGCGGCCAUGCCGCGUGUAUGAAGAAGGCCUUCGGGUUGUAAAGUACUUUCAGCGGGGAGGCGUUACCCGAAGAAGAAGCACCGGCUAACUCCGUGCCAGCAGCCGCGGUAAUAC